AAAAUAUAUAUAAGAGUUUGAUCCUGGCUCAGAUUGAACGUUAUUGGUUAGCUUAACACAUGCAAGUUUAAUUAAUUUUAUUUUUAUAAAAUUAUUGGCGUACGGGUGAGUAAUAUGUAGAAAUUAACCUUAAAAAAUAGUUAAAUACUUUAAAAUAUUUGUUUUAAGAAAAGUCUACACAAGAUUAAGUAGUUGGUAGAAUAAUUGUAUACCAAGCUUAUGAUCUUUAGUUGGUCUGUGGGGAUGUACAACCACAUUGGAAUUGAGAUACGGUCCAAACUUCGUUAGAAGGCAGCAGUGAGGAGUUUUGGGCAAUGAGCGAAAGCUUGACCCAGCUAAACCAAGUGUGUGAAGACGGUAUAAUAUUGUAAAGCACUUUAGUAAAAAAAAUUAUGAUUUAUUUAUGAAAAGUCCUGGCUAAUUUCGUGCCAGCAGCCGCGGUAAAACGAGAAGGGCUAACGUUAUUCGGAUUAAUUGGGCGUAAAGUAUGUGUAGAUGGAAAAUUAAUUUUUAAUUUAAAUAUUAAAGUUUAUUUUUGAACAAAUUAUUAAACUGAUUUUCUAGAGUUUAAAAGAAGAUUAUGGAACUUUAAAUGUAACGGUAAAAUGUUUUGAGAUUUAAAAGAACCUCAAAUGCGGAAGCAAUAAUCUAGCUUAAUACUGACAGUGAAACAUUAAAGCGUGGGUAGCAAAAGGGAUUAGAUACCCCUGUAGUCCACGCCCUGAACGAUGAGUGUUUAUUUUUAUCAAUAGUAUAGAAAUGUAGCUAACGUAUUAAACACUUCGCCUGGGAACUACGAUCGCAAGAUUAAAACUCAAAGGAAUUGACGGGAACCUGCACAAGCAGUGGAGCAUGUGGUUUAAAUCGACAAUACACGCGAAAUCUUACCAAUUUUUGAAUAACUUUUGUUACAGGUGUUGCAUGGCUAUCGUCAGUCCGUGCUGUGAAGCGUUUGGUUUAUUCCAAUAAACGGACAAAACCCUUAUACAUUUUAGAAUGUAUACUGUUAAGGAUAUCUUAAAGGAAGGGAAGGAUGACGUUAAGUCCUCAUGACCCUAAUAAAUUGGGCUACUUUCAUGUGCUACAAUGGUUUAUUCAAAAAGAAGCAAAAUAUGUAAGUUUUAGCAAAUCUUUAAAGUAGACUGUGUUCGGAUUGUUUUCUGAAACUCGAAAAUAUAAAGUUGGAAUUGCUAGUAAUCGUAAAUUAGAAUGUUACGGUGAAUAUGUUCUCAGGUUUUGUACACACCGCCCGUCACGCUAUGGAAAUUUGUUUUAUCUGAAGAUUAGUUUUAUGCUUUUUUACGGUAAAAAAAUAACUAAAGUGAAGUCGUAACAAGGUAGCCGUAGGGGAACCUGCGGCUGGAAAAUAUAAAAGUAAUUCUACUAUCU
rnacentral:rRNA from 1 species